UCUGCCACGGUUUAUUGUCACCCUGCAAUCAAACCUGGCCAGAUACUGCAGGUUUGAGCUGUUGAGCAGGAAUUUCAGCAGCCAGGGUAGUUCUUCAUACAGCAUUAUCAAAAAUUGGAAACUAAAUCUCAUCCCUAAGGACAUUCAUGCCAUGGGGAAAAAAAUGAGGUGGGCAUGAAACUUAAUCACUCCUCUUAGGCACAAGAAGCUGAAAGCAAAGUGCACAUGGCCUUUCAGAUUCAACAUAGAUUGCUCUGCUUUCUUGAUUCAAAGCCUUCCAGAUUUCAUGCUGACCCUUCAUGACUCUCUUUUGUCAAGAGAUCUUAAUUGUAGAACUGUAGAACAUGGUCUGUUUCCCUGGGUUUGUUUUUAGAACUCUUCACCUAUUCUGCCUUGAUUCAAUAACUUAGCAUGAGAAGCUUUCACAUGACUCAUUCUACCUCCUGCAUGAUCUAACAAAUUGUAAAUAUGAAAAAAUUUAUGGGGAAAUACUGUAUGUUGGGGAGGUUGUGCCUGGAUGUUUUUGUCAUUAAAAAAUGUCACCACCUUGUGUUGCUUCUGUCCACCAAGGUAGAAUUUUAUAUGUAAAUCUUUCCCUAAGCAUACUAAUAAGGUGCAUAAAAUUGUCUCUUUCUUUCUGAGCAGAGAGACCCCAAGGAGAAUUGCCUGUUUCAGCGGGACUGCUCUUUUCAAAGCUUCCAGGAUAGACAAGGAAGGAUGUCCUGCAGCACCAGUAUUACAGCUUUUUGACAGAUGCCUCACUGCACUACACUCUCAAGUGCUAUCAGACUUCUGAUAUCAAUUUACACCACAUCCACGAUAUAAUUCCUUCAGCCACAAAGUGAUAUGGAAAUAUUUAGGAUUUUCUGACUGUUUGACAUCAACAAAAGAUGUACCUCAAGUCACCAAGAAACUCGUUGAAGGGAGAAGAAAUAACCAGGACACUUACUUUGUAAUCUGUGAGAAGACAUCUUCCCUUCCAUGAGGAAAUUUCCUGAAGGAUGAAGGUUUCACAAAAGAUGCAGGCAAAGCAACUAGAGAGUGUGUGGCUGCAUUUCUCCCCUGGAACCUCAUCCUGAGGGGACAACUUUUGCAUUUUUGAUUCUUCACCACACUAAGAGGGCAGCAAAGAAUUUUGUAUCAGCCAAAUCUCUCACCUCAGAUGGAGCAGGACUGGGUAAAUGGUGUCUGGACAGCACCCAAGCUUGUAUAUGAAGCCUGUGACACUACUGUUAGUCCAAUCUGCACUGUAUUCAUCAUAGUGUUUUGCUCAUAACCUCUCAAGAUCUUCCUGGCUUUCCUCCUUCCUGCAUCUUCUCUUUCACUGAGAGGAGUCCAGAGGUACAUGAGACUAUAGCAUCCCCUACUAACGAUGGUUUGAUCAUCAGAAUUAAAGGGGGAUAGACAGGUUACUUCCUGCUUUUGGCAUCUUCUCCAACAAGACCUUCCAGUCAUUAACAGGGAAAGCAAAUCUGAUGGAGAAAAUGCUUUGACACUGGCCUGUUUUUCAGUAUCUGGCUGAACAACUUCAUGUAAAAACUAGUACUCUCAUAACCAGGGCUGCCCUACAGCCUCAGUAAUGAAACACUACUCUGCUAUGAACAAGAUAACACUUUUCAUGUGAAAUUCUAAGUCAGAAAGUUAGCUGUUGGCACUGCAGUGAAGUGGAAGCUUGAGUCCCUUUGUUUCAGCCUGAAUGGUACAGUAGUAUGGCAACCCGCUCAGUAGGUGAAGGGAGAGCAAUGGAUAUUUUCUACCUGAACUUCAGUAAGGCCUUUAACACUGUCUCUCAUAAGAUUCUCAUGGGCAAACUAUUGAUAUACAUGGUGGACGAGGACACAGUGAGAUGGAUUGAAAAAUAGCUCAAUGUCCAGGCCACAAAUGUAGAGAACGGUGGCAGGAGGUCUGAUUGGAGGCCAGUAACCAGAGGUGUACUGCAGUUGUCAAUAGGCAGUCCCAUCCUAAUUAACAUCUUCAUUAGUGAUCUGGAUGACAGGGCAGAAUGUACCCACAGCAAGUUUGCUCAACGACAAAGCUGAGUAACUGAUACACAGAGGGUAUAUCCAGAGGGAUGUCAACAGGGUGGAGACAUGGGUUAAGAUGAACCUUACGAAGUUCAGCAAGGGGAAGUGCAAAAUCCUGCAGCUGGGGAUGAACAGCCCCAAGCAGUAAUAAAGGCUGGGAGUUGCCUGGCUGAGAAGCAGCUUGGCAGAAAAGGAUGUGUGGGUCCUGGUAGACACCAAGCUGAACAUGACCCAGCAAUGUGCCCUUGCCACAAAGAAGGCUAAUGCUGUCCUGGGCUACAUUAGGAGAAGCAUUGCCAGCAGGUCGAGGGAGGGAAUCCUUCCCCACUCCUCAGCACUGAUAAGGCCACAUCUGGCAUGCUGGGACCCAUUCUAGGCUCCCCAAACAAGGAAGAUAUGGACUGGAGAGAGUCUAGCAAAGGGCCACUAAAAUGAUUAAGGGACUGGGGCAUUUCUGAUAUGAGGAAAGGCUGAGAGAGCUGGGGCUGUUAAUCCUGGAGAAGGGAAGGUUCAGGGGGAUCUCAUUAAUGUAUAUGAAGACCUGAAAUAAGAUUACAAAGACAUGGGAGCUGGGCUCUUUCCAUUGGUGCCCAGUAACAGGACCAGAGGCAGUGAGCGCAAUUGUUACUAUUGUGGCAAUUUUUGUUAUAUUUCGCAAUAUUUUUUGUUACGAUUUUCCCCAUAACAUACACAGGCGGCUUGGCAACCCGCACAUCCAGAAGCAGCGCGGCCUUCUCUGCACAUCCCUUUUGCAGCCCCUCCUUAGGCUGCAAGAUGUCGAGCAACUGCAGUUAAUAACAGUGCUUCAGCUUUCUGAAACUUCAACCAAAGCACCUCUGCAGAACCAAAACAGAGUUUCAUUUUGCCAGCAAGCAGUCUGAGGGUUGUUCCACUUGCAGCCAUCAAGGAGAAUUUCUCCAAGUUAAUGAAGACUGCAGAUUUAAAGUGGACUUGUUCAUGUACAAAAAGGCCUCAUUAAUGUGGUGCUUUGUAGAAAAACAGCAGCUUUUAUUCAGUAGAACUCCCCUCCAAUCUGGAUGCAAGCUAAAGUGAGCUCCUAGGGAAGAUGCAGAGAGCAGCUGUACGGAAAAAUGAACUCUACCACACACCUAUUACAUUGAUGAGAUGUGAUGAUAAAAGAAAAGCAGGACCAGACUACUGUUUGUUAGUGUUAUUGUGUUUUAAGGUUCCUAAGUUCCAUGGAAGAAAUGUAACAACACAAUGGAUACUGAGGAAGCCCCUCGCAGACAAGGACAUGAAAAUAAGUUAAAAAUAAGAGGACUGAAUUCACUGGCCUUCUCCAGGCGAUCUUUCUCUUCCAUGGAGAAGUUCUUCCUUAAACAUGGAGUGUCUCCAGUACAGCAAUCACGACUGUUUAUGCUAGUAGUAAGAAGUCACAGCCUGGACUAGUCACAGAAUCAUACAAUCACAAAAUCGUAGUUUGGGUCGGAAGUUGUGGAUGUAUUUCUAUUAGAUGGAGAUUUGUUAUUGAACUAGUCAGGCCCAAAGGAAUUUCAAGGCCACCUUGGAAAGCUGAAAACAGGAUCUGCUGUGGAAGUAAAACCGUUUAGCAGCUACACAAUGUAAAUCAACAGACCUACCAACAGUGAGACUCAGGCGCGUGGACAGCUCAUGAACACAGAUGAUAUCCAAUCAGUUAAUGCAUGCUUGGAGUGUGGACGCAUGAUCAGGAAUUAACUGCAUAUAUAAGGAGGCUUGUUUCUGUAAUAAAUGGCUUUGCGUGA